GUCUGCAGUAGUAAUAGAAAGAAAAUGACAAAAAGCUUUCUCACAAUGAUAUGAUAUUUUCUUAAAUUAGUAGACCCCUCCGAAAAUCCUCCAAAAUACUCCACUUAUCGCUCUCUUUCCUUCUCUCUUCUUUUCUUCUUUCUCUUUCGAAAGAACGAUUCGAUCUCAAGCAAGAAAUUCAACAAUUCCUUAGAUGUCUUCAGAGAAGGUGCAUGUGGAGCACUGUAAAGGCGUCAAUGGCCUCGACAAGGUCAUCUUAAGGGAGAUUCGCGGUUGCUCUGCUGAGGUGUAUCUGUAUGGAGGUCAGGUCACUUCUUGGAAGAAUGAACUCAGGGAAGAGUUGCUUUUCCUUAGUAGUAAGGCUACUUUUAAGCCUCAUAAGGCUAUUCGUGGAGGUAUACCAAUUUGUUUUCCUCAAUUUGGAAAUAUCGGCUCUCUUGAGCAACACGGAUUUGCAAGGAAUCGAGUUUGGAGUGUUGAUCCUGAUCCCCCACCAUUUCCAUCAACUACUUCUCACAGGGCCUUCAUUGACUUAAUCCUCGGGCAUUCUGAAGAAGAUGUGAAGAUCUGGCCUCACAGGUAUGAGUGUCGGUUAAGGGUAGCUCUGGGACCUGGAGGUGAUUUGAUGUUGACAUCUCGCAUUCGAAAUACAAAUACUGAUGGAAAGUCAUUUACAUUUACAUUUGCCUAUCACACCUAUUUUUUUGUCACUGAUAUCAGUGAAGUGCGGGUAGAAGGAUUAGAGACACUGGAUUAUUUGGAUAACCUGAAGAAUAGAGAGCGGUUCACUGAGCAAGGGGAUGCAAUAACAUUUGAAUCAGAAGUGGAUAAAAUAUAUCUCAGUACACCAACAAAAAUUGCCAUCCUGGACCAUGAAAGGAAGCGAACAUUUGUGUUGCGAAAGGAUGGACUUCCAGAUGCUGUCGUGUGGAAUCCCUGGGAUAAGAAAGCAAAAGCAAUGGCUGAUUUCGGUGAUGAUGAGUAUAAACAUAUGCUUUGCGUGGAGGCUGCUUGUGUGGAGAAGCCCAUCACCUUGAAACCCGGUGAAGAGUGGAGAGGAAGGCAGGAAAUCUCGGCUGUUCCUUCCAGUUAUUGUAGUGGACAACUCGACCCGCAAAGAGCACUCUUUAACCGAUGAAUACCGGCUUCUUCUUGGGCAUCUCUUGUACAGUUUUGAGACAACAAUCGGUUUGCACAGCCGAUUAAGCCUCCUCCAACUGGCUCCGCAAUAGCUUUACUCUUGGUUUCAAAGAUGCGUUUUAUAUUGGUGUCGAUGGGUCUUUCUGGAGCUAGUGGAACAUCUUUAGUAGGGUUAUGGAAAGUGGGUAUUUGGAAAUGGAGCAAAGAAACCCUGAUUUAGUUGGAGUUUUUGUGUUUAAAGGAAGGUGUAUGUAUCUGCAUUUUUUGGUCAAAAAAUUUGGUUAUGGAUUUUUAGCGGUGAAAAAUGCCUCUGCCAAAUCAGCAUUCGCGGAUCAGUCUUAUUGAGUUGAAAGCUCAGUUAAUAAAGACACUUGGGCCUGAGAGAUCGAAACAAUACUUUCAUUAUUUAAAUAAAAUGUUGAGCUUAAAGCUAAGCAGGGUUGAGUUCAAUAAGGCUUGUUUUCAUGUUCUUGGGAGAGAGAAUAUUAGACUACACAAUCUCUUAAUCUGUUCAAUAUUGAAAAAUGCUUGCAUUGCUAAAGUCCCUCCACCGCCAGUGACUAGUCAUGACUGUCUGCAAAGUGGGGAUGUUCUCUUGUCACCUCGGAAAGCAAGAUCCAGAUCAUCCACUAGGCUUGAUGCCAUGGUGGGUUCCGCUUCUCUUGAAUCGACAAUAAUAAAUGCAGUUGUCAUUUCUGAAAAUGGGAAUCUCACUUCUCGUGGUGUAGGGAAGCCGGUGCAGCAUCAUCAAGAAAUUUCACCCGAAGCAGAUAUUGGAAGGGAUGUUCUACUUCCUGACCCUCAAAAAUUACCUUUAACAAAGGGAUCUGUUGAUGGUUUUCUUUAUGAAGAUAGCGGAGAUCUAAGUGAAUUGUUGGUUGUUGAAGAUGGAAAGGAGUUAUCUGCUAGAAGUUCAUUGCAAGCACCAGUUGGAAUUCCAUUAUUCUCUUAUAGCGUAUCUGGGGUUCGAAGUGGUAGUUAUGCCAAGUCAUAUGAUGUUGGUGGAUUGCUUGACUCUGAGGCAUUGAGGGAACGCAUGCAACAAAUUGUUGCAUUGGAGGGUCUUGAAGGUGUGUCAGUGGACUGUGCCAAUAUAUUGAACAGUGGGUUAGAUGUCUACUUAAAGCGGUUAAUUAGAAUGAGCAUUGAGCUAGCAGGAACCAGGCAUGGAUGUAAUUUGAGACAAAACAACACAGUCAAGCGCCAUUUGUAUGGGAAGCUUGUUAAUGGUGUCUUGCCAAGUCAGCAUAAUCAGGUUCAACAUAGCAGUAGGAAUCUGGAAGGGAUAGAUGAACAGAGAUCCCACAAACUGAUUUCUUUGCUGGAUUUCAAGGUUGCGAUGGAACUGAACGAACAGUGGCUUGGAGAAGACUGGCCACUACUGCUUGAGAAGAUAUAUAUGCAUUCAUUUGAGGAAUAACAUUUCAGGAGCUUGUGAAUCUGUAUAUCUGGUUCCCCUGUUGUACCUUUAGCAUAAUUUUGGUUCACUUAGUUUUUUCUGUAAUUUAUAGCCCAUUAGGAAACAAAUUUUAUGACAGUUUUGGAGGAAUAAUAUCUUUAGCUUAGUAGGCAGAUAAAAUUGCAUGAAGUAAAGUUCCAAUGUAUGUGCUUUCCAAACUUAAAUCCAGUUGGAAUCUUAAUAUCACAAGUUAUGCUCACUUGACCAUUCUUGCUAAUUUUACCCAUAUUUCUGAAACUUUUCUAUGUAUUAAAGUCAUAUUUAAUUGUGUUGAUCUAGGAAUUGGCUGCAUAUUCACUUAUAUGACCAUAUAUUUUCUGUCUUUUUUAUGUGUUCCUUCUAAUUCUUUAUGUUAUGGCUUCUCUUCUUAUGAACUAAUGA